rnacentral:rRNA from 1 species
AACGAACGCUGGCGGCAUGCCUAACACAUGCAAGUCGAACGAGACCUUCGGGUCUAGUGGCGCACGGGUGCGUAACGCGUGGGAACCUGCCCUUAGGUUCGGAAUAACUCCCCGAAAGGGGUGCUAAUACCGGAUAAUGUCUUCGGACCAAAGAUUUAUCGCCUUUGGAUGGGCCCGCGUUGGAUUAGCCAGUUGGUAGGGUAAAAGCCUACCAAGGCGACGAUCCAUAGCUGGUCUGAGAGGAUGAUCAGCCACACUGGGACUGAGACACGGCCCAGACUCCUACGGGAGGCAGCAGUGGGGAAUAUUGGACAAUGGGCGAAAGCCUGAUCCAGCAAUGCCGCGUGAGUCAUGAAGGCCUUAGGGUUGUAAAGCUCUUUUACCCGGGAUGAUAAUGACAGUACCGGGAGAAUAAGCUCCGGCUAACUCCGUG